UGGGGAAUAUUGCGCAAUGGGGGAAACCCUGACGCAGCGACGCCGCGUGUGGGAUGAAGGUCUUCGGAUUGUAAACCACUGUCGCGAGGGACGAAGCUCUGACGGUACCUCGAAAGGAAGCACCGGCUAACUCUGUGCCAGCAGCCGCGGUAAUACAGAGGGUGCGAGCGUUGUCCGGAAUCACUGGGCGUAAAGGGCGCGUAGGCGGCCCGGUAAGUAGGGGGUGAAAUCUCAUGGCUCAACUGUGAGGCUGCCUUCUAGACUGCCAGGCUUGAGCACAGUAGAGGCGAGUGGAAUUCCCGGUGUAGCGGUGGAAUGCGUAGAGAUCGGGAAGAACAUCGGUGGCGAAGGCGGCCACCUGGUUGGAUACUGACGCUGAGACGCGAAAGCGUGGGGAGCAAACAGGAUUAGAUACCCUUGUAGUCCCUGAGCGGGCUGGCAAGGCGCAU
rnacentral:rRNA from 1 species